rnacentral:lncRNA from 1 species
AGCAGAUAUUAUUUAGGAAGAGAAUUUUCCUAUUAGAGUAACAUGUCCAUUUUGACUUCAGUUUCGUACAUGUUGUUUGAAAACGUUUUAACUAUUGAAAGUGACAACAGUUUCCAUCAAUAUAUGGAACAAUAACGUUUUGUGUUAAUUAUUGAAAGUGACAACAGUUUCGAUCAAAAUAUGGAACAAUGGAGAAUCACUUUAGAAGAUAAAGGCUGUAGGAUAAGUAGAAAUUAUAUAUGGCUGCCAAUUAGACCCCUUAUCAAAUAAGGACGACACUGGAAUAGGAUUAUGUAUGAACUGUCAACUUACUAGAGAAUGACAUACCAAAUAAAGAUAUAGCAAAUAGCAUCACAAUAGGAUGGCUAACAUAAAAGAUAACGACAUGCUUGCUGCAAUAGGAAAAUACCAAGAAGGAAGACAAAUUCUAUAGAAUGAGGUUACUAGAGGUGAAAAAAUUAGCCCGUGAAAAUAUGCUCCCCAGGUUUGGGCAGGUUGAUGGCCCACCUAUUUAUUAGUUAUUACCCAAUCCCUGUGUCCCUUUUGACACGCCCAAAUUGAUCCAUCAGAAACCUUGCCAAAAUAUUUUUAAAAAGUUUUUUUUGGGAUUGACAAGUUGACAUACUAUAUAAAGACAUAAUAAUAAAGGAAAAAAGUUUUAUCUGGUAAUUAAACAAAUUAUAAGAAACAAACUAGAAAACUAAAACUUGGUAAAAGUUGGGUGGGUUGGGCUAUUUCCAUUGUUUAGUCCUUUAUUUUGAAAAGGUAACACUUGUAUAUAUAUCCAAAAAUCAAACCUGCCACAAACAGUCAGGUCUCCAUAGUUACAAAGGAGUAUCAAGAAGAGCUUAAAUCCUAUAACAACAGCUUAUAUAGAAGAGAAGACGAAUUAGUCUUAGGUUAAAUCCUAUAACAACAGCUUAUAUAGAAUUCUGGAUCUGGAAUUUUUUAAUUAAUGGAAGAGAAUACGAAGAAGGAAGAGAAAAAAAUUUGGCUUGUUGAUACAAAAUUCCAAUAAGCAAAGCUCUCCAAGAAUUGGAUACCAUAUUCUUCAAAUUGAAAGGGUAUUUGUCUGAAUUGGCUAUAUGAGAAGUUUCUGAAGGUUUAGAGAGGCCUAAACUGUCUUCCUGUCGUUGGGCUAGAGAAUUAAAUAGGUUUGGGCCCAAAAUAUUUGCAGGCUCACCAAAGCCCACUUCCCUCUCCUUAUUUGAAUUACCAGCUUAUACAUGAGCCUUAGUUGAACCACGUGCAAAGUCAGCAUUAUCUGACUUUCUCUGUUAAGCGACUGCUUCUGUGCUUUUUCCCAGAGCAUUCGAUAUAUGCUGAAUGGUAGCAUGCUUCUCUUUCUUCUUCUCCGAUGGUAAGUUCCACCGGGGACUCCACCUAAACCUAGAGAGUAAAGAGAUAUCUGCCUUGCUUCAAUGUCACUUCUUUAGGAAUCUCUCUACCAUCUCCUCAUAUUCUGAUCCUAGCCCAUUUUAGGUGGUUCCAAAUUUGGGUCUCAUCCUCUGUCUCCACCCAAUAAUCCCCACUAUUUUUGAAGAGUUCAGAUGACCAGAAUUGAAGUGGCAGCGCAGAACAACCACAAACCCAGUACAUAUAGACUUCUGGCACAUUAUCUUGUGUAAAGGCCCCCGACAGAGUAGACCACCAUUGCAGAAGUCCCAUUCCCCUUUCAUAACCUUGCUCAGCAGCGUCGUUAGAAGCAAACUCAAAGAGAAAUCAAUCUUCAUCCAUGUCGUAAAUGUUUAGUCCAUGAACCUGCUUCUAUGAGAAAUAAUCCAUCUUCCUAGAUCCGAUAAUGUUGGGACUUUUGCAGACAUGAAAUGGUCAACUAAACAUCUAUCCAGAAUCCUAUUCUAAUGGUGUUCCAGGUCCUCCUUUAACUAGAUAACUUCUCACUUCUUUAAUGAUGAGCCACCAACUACUUUUUUGUUUGACCAUUUAAAGCUUCUGAUUGUGUAUGUACAUUGGAGUUCCUUAUCCACCAACCUAGUGUCCCCCACAUUAAAUUUCUUCACAAAGAUAUUGAUGAAUCUAUCAAUCUUGUCAGCAGGUAGGUCCAACCGGCAGUAAAAGUUACUUUGGAUCUGAUUAUCACAGCUCUCUUCCUUCCACAUAGGUUAACGAUGCUGAUAUACCUGUCAAAACCAUUAAAAUUCCUAGAGCAAAAUGUUCAAGAGAAACUCUCUUCUGUUCCAUCUUCUCACUACAUUUCACCACACCCUCGAUGUGUCUCUCAGAUUUUGUGUUAACCAUUCCAUUGUUUUCCUAUUACAAGAAACUCUUCUGAUAAAAUUCUUACUUCUCUCAAUCUAAUCAAACCAAGGUUCGGCAGUGUUCGUGGAUCUUGUGAUAUGAUAGGACUUAAAUCCUAUCGCAAAGUAAAUGAUACUAUCCAUUUGCUAAAAGGAUAAAGAAAGGGGAGGAAAGGGGAUUUUUCCGGGGAUUGGAAGGACCACCGGAGCUUGGACCUGAGCCACAAAGUAAAUUUAUUGCAUUACCUCAGGACAAGUGCCCGGGAGAAAAAGGGAAUUGUUAUGAGAGGAAUUUGAAUGAGCGCAUUAGCCCAUUUGAUGCAACUCAUUUAUUAAAUUAACCUAUUUUGAUACACCCAAAUUCAACCCAACUUUCCCAGUUGACAUCCCUAGUGGUGACAGCUCAAAACUAUAUGGGAGUGAAUAUUAAGCCUUAACAUAUCCCAAGGAUAAGGGUCCAAGAAAAGUGAAUGUAAAGGUAGAUGUGCAAUCAUACAAUAUUGAACAAGAUUAAGAGCAUGUUUGAAUUGGGUUAUUUUAGGUGUUUUUAAGUAUUUCUGUUGUGUUCAGGUAAAAUAAAAAAGUGUUUUUAAGUACUUGUUUUUUAGCCAAAUAACAAAACUAAGCCCUAAUUUAUGGCCUAAUCUUAUAUAUUAUAAGUUAUAAGCCCAUUCCUUUGUUUAGUAUUCUUUAUUUUGAGUCGGGGGUCUAUCGAAAACAACCUCUUUACUUCUUCGGAGGUAGCAAUAUGGACUGCGUGCAUCUUACCCUCCCCAGACCUCACUUUGUAGGAAUACACAGAAUUUGUUGUUGUUGUAAGCCCAUCCAAACAGGCUCAAGAGGUGUACAACAAAUAGAAGACAAAAUAUGAUAAUGUCACCUAUGGCAUUUAGUCUAUGUCCUACAUACACCGCCACAUGCACACACCAUCUUUUGCCUUGACGCUAUGAUGGUUGAACGUGCUAAAGCAAGACGACGUAGAUCCAAAAUCAUAGGGACAAAAAUUGUCUCAAACUUGUAAUUUCAUGGCAUCAAGCAUACUUAGCGAGUAUCAGAUAAAACGGAAGGAACAAAUCCACAAAAAUACUAUCCAUUAAUUGGAAUUAAGGUUUACUUAUUGUUGUUACAUUUACAAUAAGUCCAAUAUUAACCAUGAGUAAUUCUAGUUUUUGAUAAACUUGGCAUACAGUGUAGAGUUCAGUGUGA